GACGAACGCUGGCGGCGUGCUUAACACAUGCAAGUCGAGCGGAGCGGCGAACGGGUGAGUAACGCGUGAGUAAUUGCCCCCCUCUCUGGGCUAACAGUUGGAAACGGCUGCUAAUACCGGAUAGUGGGGGAUGAUUCGCGUCCUAUUAGCUUGAUGGUGGGGGAGUGGCCUACCAAGGCGACGACGGGUAGCCGGCCUGAGAGGGCGACCGGCCACAUUGGGCUGAGAUGCGGCCCAAACGCCUACGGGGGGCAGCAGUGGGGAAUAUUGCACAAUGGGGGAAACCCUGAUGCAGCAACGCGCGUGCGGGAUGACGGCCGUCGUGUUGUAAACCGCUUUCAGCCAUGACGCGGUAGUGGCAGAAGAAGCACCGGCUAACUACGUGCCAGCCGCCGCGGUAAUAC
rnacentral:rRNA from 1 species